rnacentral:rRNA from 1 species
AAACUUUCAACAAUGGAUCUCUUGGCUCUCGGAUCGAUGAAGAACGCAGCGAAAUGCGAUAAGUAAUAUGAAUUGCAGAAUUCCGUGAAACAUCAAAUUUUUGAACGCAAAUUGCACUUCUUGGUAUUCCGAGGAGUAC